rnacentral:rRNA from 1 species
GGCUUACGGGUAGUUGGUCUGAGAGAUGAUCAGCAACACUGGGACUGAGACACUGCCCAGACUCCUACGGGAGGCUGCAGUGGAGUGUCAUUGUCCAUGCACGUAAUGUGAACAUGCGACGCCGCUGGAGGUAGACGGUCUUCGGGUUGUAAACUCCUGUCAGCAGGAGUUAGGAUGGGAUCUCUAAUACAGAUUUCAUUUGAUAGUACCUGCAGAGGAAGUCACGGCUAACUCUGUGCCAGCAGCCGCGGUAAUACAGAGGUGGCGAACGUUGUUCGGAUUUACUGGGCGUAAAGGGUCCGCAGGCGGUCUUGUGUGUCGGGUGUGAAAGCUCACGGCUCAACCGUGGAAUUGCAUUCGAAACUGCAGGACUAGAGUACUGGAGGGGAGAAGGGAACACUUGGUGUAGCGGUGAAAUGCGUAGAUAUCAAGUGGAACACCGGAGGCGAAGGCGCUUCUCUGGACAGAUACUGACGCUCAUGGACGAAAGUUAGGGUCGCGAAAGGGAUUAGAUACCCCUGUAGUCCUAACUGUAAACGGUGUGCGCUAGGCGUGGGUGGCUUUACCCCCAUCCGUGCCUGAGCUAACGCAUUAAGCGCACCGCCUGGGGAGUACGGUCGCAAGAUUAAAACUCAAAGGAAUUGACGGGGACCCGCACAAGCGGUGGAGCAUGUGGCUUAUUCGAUACAACGCGAAGAACCUUACCUGGGCUUGACAUAUAGCUGCAUCCGACCCGAAAGGGACGGAGCCUUCGAGGGUGCUAUACAGGUGCUGCAUGGCUGUCGUCAGCUCGUGCCGUGAGGUGUUGGGUUAAGUCCCGCAACGAGCGCAACCCCUGUGUUUAGUUGCCAGCACGUAAUGGUGGGAACUCUAACCAGACUGCCUGUGAAAGCAGAGGAAGGUGGGGAUGACGUCAAGUCAGUAUGGUCCUUAUGUCCAGGGCUGCACACGUGCUACCAUGGGAUGUACAGUGGGAGGCUAAGCCGCUAGUGGAGCAACUCCUCAAAACAUCCCCCAGUUCGGAUUGUAGUCUGAAACUCGACUACAUGAAGUUGGAAUCGCUAGUAAAGGCGUAUCAGCUACGACGCCUUGAAUACGUUCCCGGGUCUUGCACUCACCGCCCGUC